GUUAAACUGUAUUCAUUCUUGGUGUAUGAAAUGGAGAAUGACUUUAAAUGAGACCAAGACCAAAAUUAUACAUUUUCGUAACAAAAAGGCUCCGAGAUCAGCCUUCAAUUUUAAAUGCGGUGAUAUGCCUAUUAGCUUUGACAAUGUGUACAGAUAUUUAGGAUUACAUAUAAACGAAUUUAUGGAACACAAAUAUACGAUCCGAGAGAUAACAAAAUCAGCAAGCCGGGCGCUUUCUGCAGUAUACACUAAAUUUUUAUCAUGUGGAGGGAUGUCAUUUGAUGUUUAUACAAAACUUUAUAAAACUCUUAUUGAACCCGUGCUAUUACAUGGAGCCGGAUUAUGGGGACACAACAACUGGAGAGAAGUUCAAACAAUUCAGAACAAGGCAUGUAGACUUUUUAUGGGAAGUUCAUCAAAUGCGUCGAAUAUAGCGGUUUUAGGUGAUAUGGGUUUUAAAACAACAAAAUCAGCCGAACUGUUAGAAACG
rnacentral:lncRNA from 1 species